rnacentral:lncRNA from 1 species
GUAGCUUCUUUCAGCCUUGAGCUGGAAAGUGACCCUAGACUUCUCCAGCAGAUAUGUUUCAAUGUCAGCAGAAGCCAGUUUGCCUGUGGCCCCAAAGUGGAUUCUGAUGAAUUUACCAAAGCGUGAGGAGUUGUCAUUCCUCACAGUCUUGGCAUUUCCAAAGGCCUCCAGCAGGGGGUUGGCACUGAUGAUUUGAUCCUCAAGUGUCCCCUGCAUUUUGCCCGCUGGCUGCUCCUCCUUCUUCUUAUCUCCACUAGCUGCAAUUGUUGCAAAGUACUGGAUGACACGUUUCGUGUUCACAGUCUUCCCU